rnacentral:rRNA from 1 species
AAUUGGAGGGCAAGUCUGGUGCCAGCAGCCGCGGUAAUUCCAGCUCCAAUAGCGUAUAUUAAAGUUGCUGCAGUUAAAAAGCUCGUAGUUGAAUUUCGGGACCAAUAUGUCGGUCGUGCUUCGGUACGUACUGUCAUAAUUGGUUUCUCCCUUCUGAAGAACCUUGAUGUCAUUAAUUUGGUGUCUUGGGGAAUCAGGACUGUUACUUUGAAAAAAUUAGAGUGUUUAAAGCAGGCUCGCGCUUGAAUACAUUAGCAUGGAAUAAUGAAAUAGGACGUUUGAUUCUAUUUUGUUGGUUUCUAGGAUCGACGUAAUGAUUAAUAGGGAUAGUUGGGGGCAUUAGUAUUCAAUUGUCAGAGGUGAAAUUCUUGGAUUUAUUGAAGACUAACUACUGCGAAAGCAUUUGCCAAGGAUGUUUUCAUUAAUCAAGAACGAAAGUUAGGGGAUCGAAGACGAUCAGAUACCGUCGUAGUCUUAACCAUAAACUAUGCCGACUAGGGAUCGGAUGAUGUUAAUUUUUUAAUGACUCAUUCGGCGCCUUACGGGAAACCAAAGUGU